rnacentral:rRNA from 1 species
AUUGAACGCUGGCGGCACGCCUUACACAUGCAAGUCGAACGGCAGCACGGGAGCAAUCCUGGUGGCGAGUGGCGAACGGGUGAGUAAAGUAUCGGAACGUGCCCAGUCGUGGGGGAUAACGUAGCGAAAGUUACGCUAAUACCGCAUACGAUCUAUGGAUGAAAGCGGGGGAUCGCAAGACCUCGCGCGAUGGGAGCGGGCGAUAUCAGAUUAGGUAGUUGGUGGGGUAAAGGCUCACCAAGCCGACGAUCUGUAGCUGGUCUGAGAGGACGACCAGCCACACUGGGACUGAGACACGGCCCAGACUCCUACGGGAGGCAGCAGUGGGGAAUUUUGGACAAUGGGCGCAAGCCUGAUCCAGCCAUGCCGCGUGCAGGAUGAAGGCCUUCGGGUUGUAAACUGCUUUUGUACGGAACGAAAAGGUUUGGCCUAAUAAGCUGAGCUCAUGACGGUACCGUAAGAAUAAGCACCGGCUAACUACGUGCCAGCCGCCGCCGUAA